UAGAGGUUGCCUGGAAGAGGUCUGCCUGUGGAGUGUAGAGAGGUCUCUGUAUUGAGCACUGGAGAAGUUUUAGCCCGAGGGAUUUUUUCUGUUCCCUGUGUUUUGCUGUGAGCUGCCCCUCUCCCCAAGCUUCACAACAUCCUAUCCCUGUGUUUCCUCAGCCUCCCAGUGUUCCAAGUUGUUUCUCUUAGAGGGUUUUAAUGUUUCUGAGAGAGUCUGGAACCUGAGAUGCGGGACAAGGAAUGGGUGGCAAUCUCUGUUAUGUGCCACUUAUGUGUCUGGGGGGAAGAGCCUAGAUUAAGUUCUAAGGAUUCGGUGAGUAGAUGAAUAAACCCAAAGGUCCUUAAGGAGCA
rnacentral:lncRNA from 1 species